rnacentral:rRNA from 1 species
CGCCCUUAGAGUUUGAUCCUGGCUCAGGACGAACGCUGGCGGCGUGCCUAAUACAUGCAAGUCGAGCGGACCGGACGAGAGCUUGCUCUUGUUCGGUUAGCGGCGGACGGGUGAGUAACACGUGGGCAACCUACCCGUAAGACCGGGAUAACUCCGGGAAACCGGAGCUAAUACCGGAUAACACCGAAGACCGCAUGGUCUUCGGUUGAAAGGCGGCUUUGGCUGUCACUUACGGAUGGGCCCGCGGCGCAUUAGCUAGUUGGUGAGGUAACGGCUCACCAAGGCGACGAUGCGUAGCCGGCCUGAGAGGGUGACCGGCCACACUGGGACUGAGACACGGCCCAGACUCCCACGGGAGGCAGCAGUAGGGAAUCUUCCGCAAUGGACGAAAGUCUGACGGAGCGACGCCGCGUGAGCGAAGAAGGUCUUCGGAUCGUAAAGCUCUGUUGUUAGGGAAGAAGAAGUACCGUUCGAAUAGG